CCACUCAUGCGCUUCAUCAGUUAUAGUCAUCUGUUCGUUGAAUUAACUCAUCUUUCCUUAUCUUGGUUCUCGAUAUGAAGUUGUUUUUCCUUAUCUUCAGUCUGAUAGCGCUCGUCUUUGGAGUCGCCCAAGGACAAAGAGGCUGCGUCUGCCCGUACAACUAUAGUCCCGUUUGUUCAACAACAGGAAAAACGUACAGUAACAGAUGCCAAUUAAACUGCGCACGUGCUAAAUUCAGGCGCAAUGGAAAAUGUUAAAAAUAAUUGUUUAGAUAUAAGAAACGUAAUAAAUACUACACUUUCUUCAUACUAAUACAAAAAAUACCUUUUACGAGGCUUAGCACUAGAAAGACCGGCAUUUUCCUAAAAAGACCAACACCGUCAUUUUGGCGCUAGUAUAUCUGUCAUCGUUAAUAUGAAAUUAUUGUUAGAAUUAGUGCAAUAAAAUAUGAUUUUUGUUAAAUAAAUGUUUUUACUUCUAAUCAGAGAUAAAAAUUUGUGCAAAUUAUUGUUUUUUUUGUGUAUGUUGUAUUUAUUUUGUAUUAGUUGCGCCCCGCGAUGUUACUCGCGAAAAAUAUGUGAUAUUUAAUUACCUACUUAAAAUGCACAUAACUAGUAAGUAGGAGAUGCUCGCCCAGGACCGGAUUCGAAGCUACGCCUUUUGAAUCGAAGGCAGAUGUCAUAUUCACUGAGCUAUCUGGGCUCUCGGAUUCAGCUGUAUGACAAAACAUGUACUUACUCCUAUGACAGGAGCGUGGGGCUGACAAAACUACAGCUUUCAUAAAAUAUGUCUGGCUAUCGCAAAUCUAGAAUAUACCGAGAACACCGAGAGCAGAACGUAGAAUUCAGUCUUAAAGGUAAUACAAAAGUCUUAAGAAAACCGAAACAGUGCUUACAAACUUUCCUUUUCAACAUUUUAAAGAUAUUAAAAUAAAUAAAGAUACUAUUGAUA
rnacentral:lncRNA from 1 species